CACAGUUUGUCACAUACAAACGUCUUUAAGCAAGAUGGCGAGCACACUGCUUGCCGUUAGGCUUCUGGCAUUUUUGCUCUUGGGUAUACGAUGUGUUUUCGGAAAUACUUCUGAUUGUGAGACGGUUAAGGAUAUACUGAGCAAUGAAAUUUUUGAUCUUAAGGCUGAAAAUAAACAACUCCAGUCUAGAAUUAAAAAGAUGGAAUUGAUGAUGCAGAUCCUAACAAUCAGGCAAAGUAGGCACAGAUCGAAUUGAGAUGAUUGAAACUAGAAUCAGUGCUAUCGAAACAAAAAUGCCUGAAAGCACCACAAAAUAUCCGAAGAACCCGUUCCAACUGCAAAACUUGAUAGCUAAAGCUCUUCGUUCAGAGAAAGUAGAACGACACAAAUCGGAAUUGAAAAUAGCAGCAGGUCUAAGGAAAAUUAAUGACAGCCUGAAGGCGUUCAAAGUUCAAUCAGAUGCCGUUUUCGGAUCACAUUUUGCAAAUAUCUCAAAUCGUAUACUGGACAUUAAAAUGGAGUUGUCACAAAACUUUUCUGUCGUCAGAAAUGAAGUAACGGCCGUAAGUAAUUAUGCAGAAAAGCUGGCAAAUCAGACAAAUUCAUUAAUGGAGAAUAAAAUAAAAACAAUCGAGAUGUCCAUCGAUGCCACAAAACACGACGUUUCAAAGCUGGGUGCUGAUUUAAAAACUGUUAUAGAUAUUGUUAAAAUGGAAUUGUCACAGAACAUUUAAGUCGUCAGAAAUGAAGUAACGGUCGUAAGUAAUUACGCAGAAAAGCUGGCAAAUCAGGCAAAUUCUUUAAUGAAGAAUAAAAUAAAAACAAUCGAGAUGUCCAUCGAUGCCACAAAACACGACGUUUCAAAGCUUGGUGCUGAUUUAAAAACUGUCAUAGAUAUUGUUAAAAUUGAGUUGUCACAGAACAUUUCAGUCGUCAGAAAUGAAGUAACGGUCGUAAGUAAUUACGCAGAAAAGCUGGCAAAUCAGGCAAAUUCUUUAAUGAAGAAUAAAAUAAAAACAAUCGAGAUGUCCAUCGAUGCCACAAAACACGACGUUUCAAAGCUUGGUGCUGAUUUAAAAACUGUCAUAGAUAUUGUUAAAAUUGAGUUGUCACAGAACAUUUCAGUCGUCAGAAAUGAAGUAACGGCCGUCAGUAAUAAUGCAGCAAAGCUGGCAAAUCAGACAAAUUCAUUAAUGGAGAAUAAAAUAACAACAAUCGAGAUGUCCAUUGAUGCCACGAAACACGACGUUUCAAAGCUGGGUGCUGAUUUAAAAACUGUCAUAGAUAUUGUUAAAAUGGAGUUGUCACAGAACAUUUCAGUCGUCAGAAAUGAAGUAACGGCCGUCAGUAAUAAUGCAGCAAAGCUGGCAAAUCAGACAAAUUCAUUAAUGGAGAAUAAAAGAACAACAAUUGAGAUGUCCAUCGAUGCCACAAAACACGACGUUUCAAAGCUGGGUGCUGAUUUAAAAUCUGUCAUAGAUAUUGUUAAAAUGGAGUUGUCACAGAACAUUUCAGUCGUCAGAAAUGAAGUAACGGCCGUCAGUAAUAAUGCAGCAAAGCUGGCAAAUCAGACAAAUUCAUUAAUGGAGAAUAAAAUAACAACAAUCGAGAUGUUCAUCGAUGCCACAAAACACGACGUUUCAAAGCUGGGUGCUGAUUUAAAAACUGUCAUAGAUAUUGUUAAAAUGGAGUUGUCAUAGCACAUUUCAGUCGUCAGAAAUGAAGUAACGGCCGUCAGUAAUAAUACAGCAAAGUUGGCAAAUCAGACAAAUUCAUUAAUGGAGAAUAAAAUAACAACAAUCGAAAUGUCCAUCGAUGCCACAAAACACGACGUUUCAAAGCUGGGUGCUGAUUUAAAAACUGUCAUAGAUAUUGUUAAAAUGGAGUUGUCACAAAACAUUUCAGUCGUCAGAAAUGAAGUAACGGCCGUCAGUAAUAAUGCAGCAAAGCUGGCAAAUCAGACAAAUUCAUUAAUGGAGAAUAAAAUAACAACAAUCAUCGAGAUGUCCAUUGAUGCCACGAAACACGACGUUUCAAAGCUGGGUGCUGAUUUAAAAACUGUCAUAGAUAUUGUUAAAAUGGAGUUGUCACAUAACAUUUCAGUCGUCAGAAAUGAAGUAACGGCCGUCAGUAAUAAUGCAGCAAAGCUUGCAAAUCAGACAAAUUCAUUACCGGAGAAUUAAAAUAACAACAAUCGAGAUGUCCAUCGAUGCCACAAAACACGACGUUUCAAAGCUGGGUGCUGAUUUAAAAACUGUCAUAGAUAUUGUUAAAAUGGAGUUGUCACAGAACAUUUCAGUCGUCAGAAAUGAAGUAACGGCCGUCAGUAAUAAUGCAGCAAAGCUGGCAAUCAGACAAAUUCAUUAAUGGAGAAUAAAAUAAAAACAAUCGAGAUGUCCAUCGACUGCCACAAAACACGACGUUUCAAAGCUGGGUGCUGAUUUAAAAACUGUCAUAGAUAUUGUUAAAAUGGUGUUGUCACAGAACAUUUCAGUCGUCAGAAAUGAAGUAACGGCCGUCAGUAAUAAUGCAGCAAAGCUGGCAAAUCAGACAAAUUCAUUAAUGAAGAAUAAAAUAAAAACAAUCGAGAUGUCCAUUGAUGCCACGAAACACGACGUUUCAAAGCUGGGUGCUGAUUUAAAAACUGUCAUAGAUAUUGUUAAAAUGGAGUUGUCACAGAACAUUUCAGUCGUCAGAAAUGAAGUUACGGCCGUCAGUAAUAAUACAGCAAAGCUGGCAAAUCAGACAAAUUCAUUAAUGGAGAAUAAAAUAACAACAAUCGAGAUGUCCAUCGAUGCCACAAAACACGACGUUUCAAAGCUGGGUGCUGAUUUAAAAACUGUCAUAGAUAUUGUUAAAAUGGAGUUGUCACAGAACAUUUCAGUCGUCGGAAAUGAAGUAACGGCCGUCAGUAAUAAUGCAGCAAAGCUUGGAAAUCAGACAAAUUCAUUAAUGGAGAAUAAAAUAACAACAAUCGAGAUGUUCAUCGAUGCCACAAAACACGACGUUUCAAAGCUGGGUGCUGAUUUAAAAACUGUCAUAGAUAUUGUUAAAAUGGAGUUGUCACAGAACAUUUCAGUCGUCAGAAAUGAAGUAACGGCCGUCAGUAAUAAUGCAGCAAAGCUGGCAAAUCAGACAAAUUCAUUAAUGGAGAAUAAAAUAACAACAAUCGAAAUGUCCAUCGAUGCCACAAAACACGACGUUUCAAAGCUGGGUGCUGAUUUAAAAACUGUCAUAGAUAUUGUUAAAAUGGAGUUGUUACAAAACAUUUCAGUCGUCAGAAAUGAAGUAACGGCCGUCAGUAAUAAUGCAGCAAAGCUGGCAAAUCAGACAAAUUCAUUAAUGGAGAAUGAAAUAACAACAAUCAUCGAGAUGUCCAUUGAUGCCACGAAACACGACGUUUCAAAGCUGGGUGCUGAUUUAAAAACUGUCAUAGAUGUUGUUAAAAUGGAGUUUUCACAGAACAUUUCAGCCGUCAGAAAUGAAGUAACGGCCGACAGUAAUAAUGCAACAAAGCUUGCAAAUCAGACAAAUUCAUUACCGGAGAAUAAAAUAACAACAAUCGAGAUGUCCAUCGAUGCCACAAAACACGACGUUUCAAAGCUGGGUGCUGAUUUGAAAACUGUCAUAGAUAUUGUUAAAAUGGAGUUGUCACAGAACAUUUCAGUCGUCAGAAAUGAAGUAACGGCCGUCAGUAAUAAUGCAGCAAAGCUGGCAAAUCAGACAAAUUCAUUAAUGGAGAAUAAACUUAAAACUAUCGAGAUGUCCACCGAUGCCACAAAACACGUCGUAUCAAAGCUGGGUGCUGAUUUAAAAAUUGUCAUAGAUAUUGUUAAAAUGGAGUUGUCACAGAACAUUUCAGUUGUCAGAAAUGAAGUAACGGCCGUCAGUAAUAAUGCAGCAAAGCUGGCAAAUCAGACAAAUUCAUUAAUGGAGAAUAAAAUAACAACAAUCGAGAUGUCCAUUGAUGCCACAAAACACGACGUUUCAAAGCUGGGUGCUGAUUUAAAAACUGUCAUAGAUAUUGUUAAAAUGGAGUUGUCACAGAACAUUUCAGUCGUCAGAAGUGAGGUAACGGCCGUCAGUAAUAAUACAGCAAAGCUGGCAAAUCAGACAAAUUCAUUAAUGGAGAAUAAAAUAACAACAAUCGAGAUGUCCAUCGAUGCCACAAAACACGACGUUUCAAAGCUGGGUGCUGAUUUAAAAACUGUCAUAGAUAUUGUUAAAAUGGAGUUGUCACAGAACAUUUCAGUCGUCAGAAAUGAAGUAACGGCCGUCAGUAAUAAUGCAGCAAAGCUGGCAAAUCAGACUAAUUCAUUAAUGGAGAAUAAAAUAACAACAAUCGAGAUGUCCAUUGAUGCCACGAAACACGACGUUUCAAAGCUGGGUGCUGAUUUAAAAUCUGUCAUAGAUAUUGUUAAAAUGGAGUGGUCACAGAACAUUUCAGUCGUCAGAAAUGAAGUAACGGCCGUCAGUAAUAAUGCAGCAAAGCUGGCAAAUCAGACAAAUUCGUUAAUGGAGAAUAAAAUAACAACAACCGAGAUGUCCAUUGAUGCCACGAAACAAGACAUUUCAAAGUUGGGUGCUGAUUUAAACACUGUUAUAGAUAUUGUCCUUCUGGAUCAAGCUGCGACAUGCAAACCAAAUUGCGCUUACGGCGAUGUGUGCUUCAGAGACAACAUGUGUAAGUGUAAACCUUUCACAGAGGGACCUCGCUGUGGAAAAGUGAUUUGUGAUGACAAAUGCUACGAGAACGGAGGAAAAUGCGUAGGUCCUGGAAAAUGUAAAUGUCCAGAAAAUAGACACGGAUCUAACUGUGAGGAAUUUAUUUGUGAAGACAAAUGUUAUGAGAACGGAGGAGAAUGCAUCGGCCCCGGAAUAUGUAAAUGUCUUGAGGAACAAAGUACUUUGGUCCUAACUGCGAACCAAAAAUUUGACUGCAAUGCCAGAGGUGGAUACCUGAUGGAGGUUAAUAGUGUAAACGAAAACAUGUUUUUAUAUUAUUCAGGUCAAGCCUCAGGACUAGAAUAUAAGUCUGAUAUAGAUUCUAUAGAAUCGGCAUUUACGGCAUUAACGGCAUUUACGGCAUUUAUGGGGAUACACAUGAUUGUCAGAAAAUAAAUGAUAGAAGAAGCCGCAUAUCUCGCUUGUGUAUGAGUAAGAAUCCCGAGUCGCUUACAAUUCUCAACUCGUAUCCUGAAAAGAUUUUGGAUAAAGAUAUUGGUUCCUGAGAGAUCGAAAGAUGGAAACUGCGAAGUUUACCUCGGCAAAGAAGUCACGUUCUGCGCUCCUCGCACAGUUGACCAAAAUUAACAAUGAACUUGAGAGACAGAUGGUGUCUACAGAAAACGCUGAAAAGGUAAAACACUUAUACAAAAAUCUAUGUGACAGAUAUGAACAGUUUAAAAACGCUCAUUUUCACUGUCUGGAAUUAUGUGAUGAUCCCUCUAUCAUAGAAUUGUUGGAGACGAAUUAUUCUAGUCAGCAGAAAAAUCUAACGGAAUUCAACGAGCAUUAUUCCGAGUGGCAAAAACAGUCACUACAGUCGGGUCAAGAUGAUAAUAUAUCUACAAUAAGCAGAACGGGUACAGCACGGUCAUCUCGUGCGCAGUUACAAAAUGCAAAAGCGAAAAGACUGAUUGCAGAACAUAAACUAAGAACACUAAAAGUAAAACAAAAAAUAGAACAAGAGCAAAGGGAAUUAGAAAAUAAACGGCAAUUACUUGAACAAGAGAGCGAAUUAGAAGAAGCAAGGAUCGAGGAAUCUGUCUGGCAGGAAGAUAUCGAAUGUCCUGAUAAUAAUGGUGGUCGGAACUUUCCGGAAGUAGCACGUGACGUAUCCGUAUCCGUUAGCGGGCAGGAUUCAGCAGAAACGGUAAUUUCUCAUGACGAAAGCAAUGAUAAGUUGGAAGAUUUGACAUCCACAAAUAUAGAUACGGCUUUCUACAGGUUGGCAUUUACUUUGCAGGAAGGAUUUAAUGUGCCUAAACCGGAACUGUUGACAUUUAACGGAAGAGUGACAGAUUAUUGUAAAUUUAUAAAGAACUUCGAAACAAAUGUUGAGGAAAAAUCAGUGACAGUAGGUUAAGAUUAAGUUAUCUUAUACAGUAUUGUGUAGGCGAGGCUAAAAGUUGUAUUGAGGACUGUGUUUUACUUGAUCCAGAUGAUGGUUACAGGCGUGCAAGGAAAAAUUUGCAAACUCGCUAUGACUAUGACGAUUUUGACGGUGUCUGGAUUGGCCUCAAUGACAUAGCAAAGGAGGGCGAAUUCGUUUGGUCUAAUGGUGGAAGCGUAUUGUUUGACAAACCGGUAAACUACAAUACUGUAGAUGCUGA
rnacentral:misc_RNA from 1 species